AUUAGGUAUUUCAUGAGGAAGCUGAAGAAGGUCAAGAAGAGCAAUGGUCAAGUGCUUUCCAUUAAUGAGUCAAUGUUUUUUUGCGGUGGAGAAGUGGUUCCUUCUCAACUCUCCUCCUGGUGAAAUCCAAUUUGUUGCCAAUGAUGUGAAGGAGGCUGCGUCAGAGGCAUCCUCUCGAAUAUUAUGAAAACCUAUCAGCAUAUCCACACCUUCUUUUACACCUUAUUUCUCUGCACAUUCCUCUCAAAAACUUAAAUGCUUUAUGCUCCACCAUAGCCUUUGGUAGUUUUCUCUUCUUUCACUUGGUUCCAUUUUAAGUUUUAACUUUUUAAAAAAAUCUUUAUUCUAAAUUUGUUACUUUAAAUCCUUAAUUUUAGGAUUAGUUAUGGUUUAUUUUUAUAUCUUAUAAUGAAUUGAGAUGUGGACAAUCUCCCUUUUUGUCCCUUCCCCUUCGACUCUCUUUUUGUCUUCAUUGUUCUCAUCGUUUCAUUGUUCUCAUCUUUUCUUGCGUUCUAAUCUCAUCCUUCUUGAAAAUUGCAACUUCCCCUUGGACUCUCUUUGGUCUUCAUUGUUUUCAUCGUCUCAUCGUUCUCAUCUCAUCCUACUUGAAAAUUUCCUAUUGAGAAGUAAAAAUCGAAG